GACAGAGGUGCCGAGCGUUAGGCGGAAUCACUGGGCUUAAAGCGUGUGUAGGCGGCCCGUUAAGUGCCUCGUGAAAUCCCCCGGCUCAACCGGGGAACUGCGGGGCAUACUGGCGGGCUUGGGUCGCUCAGGGGCAGACGGAACAGGCGGUGGAGCGGUGAAAUGCGUAGAUAUCGGAAGGAACGCCGGUGGCGAAAGCGACGUGCUGGACCUCUUCUGACGCUGAGGCGCGAAAGCUAGGGGAGCAAACGGG
rnacentral:rRNA from 1 species